UACGUAGGGAGCGAGCGUUGUCCGAAUUUACUGGGCGUAAAGCGCGCGUAGGCGGGUUUUUAAGUUGGGGGUGAAAUGCCGAGGCUUAACCUCGGAACUGCCUCCAAAACUGGAAGCCUUGAGGUAUGGAGAGGGAAGUGGAAUUCCAGGUGUAGCGGUGAAAUGCGUAGAUAUCUGGAGGAACACCCGUGGCGAAGGCGGCUUCCUGGCCAUAUCCUGACGCUGAGGUGCGAAAGCUAGGGGAGCGAACGGG
rnacentral:rRNA from 1 species